rnacentral:rRNA from 1 species
GACGAACGCUGGCGGCGUGCUUAACACAUGCAAGUCGAACGGAAAGGCCCUGCUUUUGUGGGGUGCUCGAGUGGCGAACGGGUGAGUAACACGUGAGUUACCUGCCCUUGUCUUUGGGAUAACUUCAGGAAACUGUGGCUAAUACUGUAUAGGAGCUCCUGCUGCAUGGUGGUGGUUGGAAAGUUUCGGCGGUUGGGGAUGGACUCGCGGCUUAUCAGCUUGUUGGUGGGGUAGUGUCUUACCAAGGCUUUGACGGGUAGCCGGCCUGAGAGGGUGACCGGCCAAAUGGGGACUGAGAGACGGCCAAGACUCCUAUGGGAGGAAGAAGUGGGGAAUAUUGCACAAUGGGCGGAAGCCGGAGGAGACAACGCCGGGUGCGGGAGGACGGCUUUCGGGUUGUAAACCGCUUUCGCCUGUGACGAAGCGUGUGUGACGGUAAUGGGUGAAGAAGCACCGGCUAACUACGUG